rnacentral:lncRNA from 1 species
GUGUGUGUGUGUGUGUGUAUCUAUAUGUAUAUGUCCCCUCCUUCCAUUGUAUAUGAGUGUCUUGCUUGCCUGUGUGUCUCUGUACCACCACAUGCAUGUCUGAUGCCCAUGGAGGCCAGAAGAGGGUGUUGGGUCCCUUGGAACUGGAGUUAUAGGUGGUUUUAGCUGCUGUGUAGCUGUUGGGGAUCAAAUAUGGAUCCUCUGCAACAGCAAGUACUCCUAACCCCUCAGUCAUCUUUCCUGCCUCUCCUUCCCAGCCCACCCCCCCCCCUUUAAACUUUUAAAGUAUUUUUUAUCUUUUCUUUCUUCUGGUCUUUUUCCUUUACCUUCUCUCUUCUCCCUUCUCUUUUCAGCCCCCUCUUUGUCCUUUCCUGUCCUCUUUCCCACUCAGUACUCAGGCUGGCCUUGAACUCUCCUUAUGGCCUUAGCUUCCUCCGUAUUGAGAUAACAGGAUUGUGCCUCCAUUAACAACUAAUACCUUUCAUUUUAAAGCAGUUUCAUAUUUUCAGCAAAGUUGUGGAUACUGCAAAGAAUUCCAGUAUGUCCUUUAUUCCUUUUAUCGAAAAGCACAGUUAGUUAGGCCAACCUUUUCUAGUGUGUAUUUUGUUUUAUUUUGAACCACCAAUGGAAGCGCUAGUUACAGACUUGUACUUCAAUCUGUUUGUUUUCCCUAGAGGCAAUGGUAUAAUGUUCCUAAAACUAAGGAUAUUCUUUGAGUAAGUAUUGUGUUGUAAUCAAAAUCAGAAAUUAAUUUUACUAUAAUAUUAUCGUCUAAUCUUAGUAUACUGCCCAAUCGUUGCUAGUUUCCUAUUGAUACAAAUCAAACAAAUCUAGCCACCUAAGCCACCUGCUUGUUGUGUUCUGCUACUUGCCCAGCAUUUGUAUUCCCUAGUUGUGAGUUUGGGAAACACAAUCUAGGUGUUUUGUGGAACCUGUCUAAUGUGUUUUGUCUAGUUAGAGUUCUCCAGAUCUGUUUGGGUCAUAGACUAAAUUAUAGGCAUGACUUGGUGACUUUUUAAUUUAUUAGGGCCAAAUAUUAAAAAGCUGCUAUUCCCUUAAAUUGUCCUCAGAAGCAAUGGUCCUUCAAGAUCAGGCCAUUUGGUAGAUUUCUGUCUCCAUUUCUCUUUUGUCUACUAGUUAAGUUACCUUUCCAACAGAGGAAGUAGUUCAUUUUCCCAUCCAGUUAUCCUUUUGUGUGUGUGUGUGUGUGUUACAUGUAUGGGGGCUAGAGAUUGGCACUAAGUUUCUUUUUCAGUUGUCCUCUACCUUUUAAAAAUAUUUUAUUUAUAUAUGUAUGAGUAUUUUGCCUAUAUGUAUGUCUGUUUCAUGAGCAGACAAUGUCCAAGAAGGCCAGAAGAGGGCAUCGGACGGAUCUCAAGGCACUGAUGGUUGUGAGCUGACUUGUUUCUGGGAACAACAACCAAAAAAUGGGUUCUCUGCAAGAAUCAUAAGUACUUGUGAACACUGAGAUAUCUCUCCAUUCCCUUCUACCUUAGUUUUUGAUCUAAAAUCUCUUUCUAAACUUGGAGCCUACUGAAUAUCAAGUCUCCUUGGAAGUCAUGCCUUUAGUGAUGCCAAGACCUCAGUGGGUCCCAUAAAGACUCAUUACCUCUUAAAAACACCAUUUAACCUUUAACCCAUGACUUUUUGGAGAUUUUUUGGAGAUCUUUAAGAUGUAAACUGGAAGCUAAGUAUUUGGUGGGGCAAAACCUUUAAUCCCAGCAUUCUUAAGAAGCUGAGCCAGGAAGACUGCAAGGUCAAGACUCAUCUGAGAGCUUGACUCAGAAACAAGCAAACC